rnacentral:rRNA from 1 species
GACGAACCGUGCGAACGUUAUUCGGAAUCACUGGGCUUAAAGCGCGUGUAGGCGGGACGGCACGUCGGUCGCUGAAAGCCCCCGGCUCAACCGGGGAAGUGGCGCCGAUACGACCGACCUGGAGGGACGUAGGGGGACCUGGAACUUCCGGUGGAGCGGUGAAAUGCGUUGAGAUCGGAAGGAACGCCCGUGGCGAAAGCGAGGUCCUGGACGUCUGCUGACGCUGAGACGCGAGAGCCAGGGGAGCGAACGGG